CCAACAGGGAUUGCCCCAGUAACGGCGAGUGAAGCGGCAACAGCUCAAAUUUGAAAUCUGGCACCCGCCCGAGUUGUAAUUUGCAGAGGACGCUUCUGGCGCGGUGCCUUCCAAGUCCCCUGGAACGGGGCGCCGGAGAGGGUGAGAGCCCCGUACGGUCGGCCGCCAAGCCUGUGCGAAGCUCCUUCGACGAGUCGAGUAGUUUGGGAAUGCUGCUCUAAGCGGGAGGUAGACCCCUUCUAAAGCUAAAUACCGGCCGGAGACCGAUAGCGCACAAGUAGAGUGAUCGAAAGAUGAAAAGUCCUUUGGAAAGAGAGUUAAACAGCACGUGAAAUUGUUGAAAGGGAAGGAAUCGUACCCAGACGUGCGCCGGGGCGAUCAUCCGGCGUUCUCGCCGGUGCACUCGCCCCGGCGCAGGCCAGCGUCGGUUCGGGCGGGGGGACAAAGGCGCCUGGAACGUGGCCCCUCCGGGGGUGUUAUAGCCAGGCGCGCCAUGCUCCCGCCCGGACCGAGGUCCGCGCCCUGCAAGGACGCUGGCGUAAUGGGCACCAUUCACCCGUCUUGAAACACGGACCAAGGAGUCAAGGUCUUGCGCGAGUAUUUGGGUGCAAACCCGCAUGCGCAAUGAAAGUGAACGCAGGUGGGAGCUUCGGCGCACCACCGACCGAUCCUGAAGUUCUCGGAUGGAUUUGAGUAGGAGCGUGGGGCCUUGGACCCGAAAGAUGGUGAACUAUGCUUAGAUAGGGUGAAGCCAGAGGAAACUCUGGUGGAGGCUCGCAGCGGUUCUGACGUGCAAAUCGAUCGUCAAAUCUGAGCAUUGGGGCGAAAGACUAAUCGAACCAU
rnacentral:rRNA from 1 species